GAGAGUUAAACAGUACGUGAAAUUGUUGAAAGGGAAACGAUUGAAGCCAGUCGUACCUAUGGGUAAUCAGCCUUUUGGGUGUGAUUUUGUGGAGCGUGAGGAGUUAAACGCCUUCAUGCCUGCAUAUUCGUGCACUUUGGGUGUACUUGCCCGUGUGUAAGUUAAUAUCAAUUUUGGUGGUCAUAAAAUGGCUGGAGGAAUGUAACUUCGAUCUUGUAUUGAAGUGUUAUAGCCUUCGGUAGAUGUGACGAUCGGGAUUGAGGAUUGCAACGGAUACCCUUCGGGGCUACCUGUCUGAUCUCUGAUUGUUGCUCUGGUGCCGAAAGCUUGCUUACGGUUAUCAAAGUCGAUGUUCAAUAGGUUAGAAUGGGUUAAAUUCGUUAAGGAUGUUGACGUAAUGGCUUUAAACGA
rnacentral:rRNA from 1 species